UAGAAGAACUCCUCUGCAAAAUCGCACGCCCACCCCAAGCUUCUCCACCCCAUUUUCAGAAAUUUAUUUCCCUUGUAGUGUCUUUGCCCCGGCAGGUCCUCUGCGCCCGCGUCGUCUCCCUACAUUUCCCCUGUAGUGUCUCUUUCCCUCCCUCUAAUCUCCUCCGCCUCUCUCUCUCUCUCUCUCUCUCUCUCUCUCUCGAUGUGCCCUAACACCUCUUGUGCAAAAAUCCUUAGAUUGAUCCGCUCCACCCACCGGCCAUGCCUUCCACCGCCACUCGACUUGCGACUCCACAAGAAACACGUGACUUUGGAUAUAGGUUUGACUCGACAAACUCAAAACUGAUAGUUUCUCCUCAAACAUAGAAGAGGAAAUGGAGAAAAUUGUGUCUUCUAUUCUUCCAAAUUACAUGCUCAAAGCUGUCUGGAUCACAUUCCCCACACAUCUCUGGCCGAUUCACAUUCCCAAAUGGCAUGUGUAACACUACCUACAUGCCAUUGGCAGAUUGGGCAAGCAGGUUCAUCGACAAUUUUCUUUUUGAAAAGGUUGGAGUUGGAGAGAUCGAAAUAUCAAAAAUGCUGAACAAUGAAUCCACCCCCCCAACAUGAUGCAGACGUGUUAUAGCUAUUCUAUCCUAGCCACAAUGCCUAGGUGCACAUUGUUAUAGAUGGCAUGAUAUAAUUUUUAAAUAUAGAGAAGCAUGACAGUUGAACAAUUUGAAUGAAUGUGGACAUUUUCAAUUAAUGUUUAGAAGCAAAAAAUGUGUUCUAUAUAUUUAGUAGUUUGUAAGUUGUAGGUUUUGGGUUCAAAUUGAUCCACCCCAAUGCAUAUAGCCUAUAACUACAUUAAUGUGAAUUUGCCACUGGCUUUGGAUGAAUGAAUGUGUUUGAUUUAUUAUAUUA